rnacentral:rRNA from 1 species
AUUGAACGCUGGCGGCAGGCUUAACACAUGCAAGUCGAGCGGAGAUGAGGUGCUUGCACCUUAUCUUAGCGGCGGACGGGUGAGUAAUGCUUAGGAAUCUGCCUAUUAGUGGGGGACAACAUUCCGAAAGGAAUGCUAAUACCGCAUACGUCCUACGGGAGAAAGCAGGGGAUCUUCGGACCUUGCGCUAAUAGAUGAGCCUAAGUCGGAGUAGCUAGUUGGUGGGGUAAAGGCCUACCAAGGCGACGAUCUGUAGCGGGUCUGAGAGAAUGAUCCGCCACACUGGGACUGAGACACGGCCCAGACUCCUACGGGAGGCAGCAGUGGGGAAUAUUGGACAAUGGGGGAAACCCUGAUCCAGCCAUGCCGCGUGUGUGAAGAAGGCCUUAUGGUUGUAAAGCACUUUAAGCGAGGAGGAGGCUACUGAGACUAAUACUCUUGGAUAGUGGACGUUACUCGCAGAAUAAGCACCGGCUAACUCUGUGCCAGCCGCCGCGUAAUAC